AUGCCAUGAUGAGGACAUCUUCUCAAAAGUUCCUUGAACCGUUCCCAAGCUCAUACAAUGAUUCCCCAUCAUUCUGGAAAAAAUUAUUGAUUUCUCCCCUCAAUUU